rnacentral:rRNA from 1 species
GGGUGCGAUCAUACCAGCAAUAAUGCACCGGAUCCCAUCAGAACUCCGAAGUUAAGCUUGCUUGGGCGAGAGCAGUACUAGGAUGGGUGACCUCCUGGGAAGUCCUCGUGUUGCACCCCUC